CUGUUCGAGAACAACAGUUGAAACUUGGAUGUUGAAACGGAAAGUCAAAAUUUCGAGCAGAAUAUGGGAGUUAUUAGGUUAAUUAAAGUCGCCAGGAAAAGAAAAGAUUAACAACAUAUAUUGAACAAAGAAUAAAAGGUAAAACAACCAAUUGUAUAUAUAAACUAAAAUCUAUUUAUUAGAAAACGUACGUUAUUUGUAUUUCAUUUCAGCAUAAUAAUAACAAUGUGGACAGGUUAAAGUGAUCAUGUUAUACGGAUUGUCCAAUUUUAUUUAAUUUAAUGAAUGUGUUCCUUUCAGAACUUGGAAUUAUUAUAUUAGGCCUACAUGCACUAUUUAUUUUGCUCAAUGCACAUAUGGGGCUUUUUAUUGACCGAUUACAUCAAUUAUUACGCUUACAUACGAUAGCUUACAUUGUAAACUAACCUAAACUAUUUUUUGUAACAAUAAUUGUGAUAUUAGUUUGCUAACUAUGUUUAUCCUAACCCACCGUACCAACUUGCCCUGUGGGAGUAAAUCGGAGCACCGAUUUUCGGCAGAGCGUUGACAGACUCAUGUACAUAUGAGUCUGUAGCGAGAUUCCAACCCCACGAUCUCAGAAGUGAAAAACACUUUCUUUGACGACGGCGCCACAGUGAAGUCCCGGCUAAAAAUUAUUAUUAGGUAAGCGGCGCAAUUAUUGUCUAAGCAUGCGCGAAAACUGCUCGGGUUUUCAUCGGGGGAAGAUGAUAUGCGUGCUUCCAUGUGUUGAUCGAAAAAACAUAAACAACGUGAAUGAAGCAUUCGAAAGGCAAUUUUGCAGCGACUGUUUAUGGGUACAAUGAGGAAAAUGCAAGAUUGAAUAUUAAUAAAUUAUCUGACAUAUAACACGUUAAAAGCUAGUAUUAUACCAUUAAUUCGUUUUAAAUAUAUAUAAUACCAAUGUAAUCCAUAGAAUUAUAUUCGUAUAAUUACGAUAUUAUAGUCGAAUCGAAUUUGUAAAACAAAUUAAAAUAUGAGUUACAGUAAAGAUAAGAAAAGCUGGCGAAUGCAUAAGUGUUUCUUCACGCUAGCCUUCAAAUAAAAUACUUAUUGCCAAGCACACGGAUAUGCCAAGGAAAGCUUGCUAAGUUUUUGUGUCUUUCUAUUAUGCUCUGGUUAUCCAUUGAGCACUCUAUCCAGUGAAGGAGUCAAGAAGGGGGGAGUGGCAAAUGCUCCCCCCCCUAAUUAUUUUCUCCCCCCCCUAAAAAAAAAUUAAGGCUACACAAGCAUUUUGUCGUUAAUUAUCAAAAAUGUAUUGGUAAUAAGUUGUCAUUACUCAUUAGUGAAUGCGCGUAUACAUGAAACUGUUUUUUACAGUUUCAAUGUUAGUUUGUAAAUCUCUGAGUGGUAUGGCUUGCCAAUACUCCAAUAAUACGUUUCAAGAAAGACAAAAAAGCUUUAGUUUUGCAGAGUUAAAUUCCCAAACGUGUAUAAGGCGCUAAAAAGAUGGAAGUAUCACGAAAUUAUUUGAAUAAACCACGUCGCAUAUAGGGGGGGGGGGCGAAUAUCCUAAAAGGGGAGACAUUCCUAGAAUAUUCGAUGAUCUCCCUAGGAAUUUCGCCCUCCUUUUGAGAGGGGGAACAUAUCUCCUAUGGGGGGAGGGGCGAAAGUCCUGUGACAAUGGCAUGGGCGAAUAGCAGUACCUUUUUAAAAUUAUAUAUAUAUAUAUAUUAAACUGAAAGCUAUUUGAAUCUAAAAAAAGUAAUUGUUUGCAUAGGCCUUUGUUUCUUCUUAUAUAAAAAAGUUAUUUUAACACACAAUCGCUACCCUACAUUUCCAAAAGCUAAAAUGCAAUCUUAACGGCUGAAAUUCGGUUUCUCGUAAACUGCACUGGCGAUUUUCAAAUAACUUUCAAAAAGAUUUAAAACUUCACAAUAAUGUAUUUCUGCAAUAAAAAAGGUAUAGGUCAACGUGGUUUUUUGUCCGCUAAGACGACUUCUUGUUGUUGAUAUAGGGCUUAUAAAUGGUGACGUCAUAUUUUCAAGGUAUCGUGAAUUAAGAGUGGCGAUUGUCGGUUAAAAUUACCCUUUCGUAUAAGAAGAAACAAUGAAUUUAAAUUGCUUUUAGUUUGAAACACUGACACAUAUUUUGGAAACUGUAGGGAGCCUCCUUAAUUGUUAUCUGUAUGUAGCAAAUGCCGACAAUGCAUGCUUUUCCAUGGAUCAAGCGGACAACGAAAUGCUCUUUAAUUUAAAUGAUUGUGUGGACAAGCCUUCAACAGCUCUAUAACAUCUCGAUUAAUGUUUCCAUGUUAACGAUGAAAAAAUUUACAGUCACACUUUCUCCAAAUGUCCAAUACAUUGAAAACAUUAGCGUAUAAAAAUAGUGUGGCAAUCAACUUUAAAUUCAGUCAGUCGCAAUUCCAGGCCGCUGACUGCAUGCGGAGACCGUGAUCAAAAAUUACCCUGGCUGCCAUACAAUUUCAAGGGCCUUGAGGCAGACUCUUCUCCAAUUUGUGGCGAGUUCCCUUUCCGCAACAUUAUUCAUAUUAAAUUUUCUUUUAAAUUAAGUUUAAAAUUAUGUAUAACGUUAACAGAAUUCUUAUAUCUCUUCAAUUUCAAAACGGUUCUGCCAUGCAGCCUAUUCAAUUUAUCAUUUUGCUGAUACAAACUCAAAAAAACCCAGAAAAAUUGUUGAAUUAAAUUUCAAGCUACAUGUGCAAUUUUUUUUAAAUUUUAGGUCUGAGUCAGGGAUAAGAAAUUAAACGAAGCAGGCCUUAUCAGACGUAUUUAAACACAUGAAGAGUCACGUUCAAAACAUAUGAACAGUCAUGAAGCUCACAAGGAAAAGUUAUUACAAUGGACAACAAUACUACAUACCCAAGUAAACCUUCCGAGCAAUGGCAUUUUCUUGGUUUCAUUGUAAUCUUAGUAAUUGCAUGUAUAGUUUGCAACAGUUUUAUUGUAGCCGUUUUUAUUGUCGAGAAGUCAAUACGAAACCACGCGAACAUGUUCGUCGUAAGUCUUGCAUGUGCAGAUCUUGUGGUUGAAAUGAUAUCAAUGCCUUUAUGGAUAGCAAACUCAAGUCAUAGCCUGGAGUUACAUUAUUAUCACUAUAGUAUCGACAUCGUUUGCUGUUCCGUAUCAAUAUUUAACUGUACCCUUCUGAGUAUAGAAAGAUCAUUGAAAAUCGGUUUCCCUUAUUGGUAUACAAAUAACGUAACUGCCUUCAGGUUGAAAAUCAUCAUCCUACUCGGGUGGAUCGCAGCUGUCUUAAUUGGAAGUAUGUCUUUAUUACGAGGAACAAAUCCAAACAAUCUUCCUUACAUUAUCUUUAUAUCCAUUUUCAUUUAUAUUCUGCCUGUCUUAGCCAUCCUUAUUUCUUAUAUAAGUAUAUUCGUCGUAGCACACAGGCAUGCAAAGAGUAUCCGCAAGCAAGAGUGCCGAAUUGACGGCGGUAUGACAAGUACGAGAAUGACAGAGGCAAGAACUGCCUGGCGUCUCAGUGUUUUUAUUAUCGUGUUCAUAAUAUGUUGGACUCCAGUUUUUGUGAAAAUAUGGGGGCGUCUGUUUUCACAAAACGGUCCGCCUCUUUUUUUCAAUGUGGCGGCAAACACGUUGCCGAACAUUAAUGCGGUAAUCAAUCCAUUUUUAUACGCUCUUUUCAAUCCAUCGUUCAGAAGAGGAAUGAUUAAAUUUUGCAGCAAGAAAAAAGGAACUCGCCACAAAAUGGAAUCCAUUCGAAGAAAGGAGAGUUCGACUGCUCUGUCAAAUCUUAAUAACAGUCCGUCCAUGAGCAGAGCUUUAUCAACGCAGUUGUUUCCACAAGAGCGACGUAAACUGCAUUCUGCACACUUGGGGAAAAAACACUUAGAGACCCAAAAAAAUCUGCUUACUCCACCACAUGCUGAGCAUGGACACACCAAUAAUGAAGAAAUGUAUAUUUCAAGCAAUUACGAAACUAGUUUGUAAGAUAACUCAACACUGACGCCCUGUAUCGAUAUUUUACUAACAUCUCCAGGGAAAUGAAUGCAAAAUACAAUACAAUUAGGACACCACGCAAAUUUAAGCAAAUCAAUAUAGUUUUGCAAGAGCUUCAGAACAUACUAAAGAUUGUAUUCUAUUAUUAUAUAAAGUAUAUUGCUUUAUAUAGAGAUUUCGAACACUGAUAAAAGUGAUUAUCUCACAUGUGAGAUUAAUCAUGAUAAUCUCACAUGUGAAAAUUAUCGCUUUUCUGUAAGAAUUAUCGCUUUACAAACACUGUCCUUUAUAUAAUAAACUGAGAAAAAUACAUGGGUGCUUGGAAAUACCAGAUUUAUUUCUCUUGUUGAACAUGAUAUUUCACUCGUUCGCUGCAUGCGCUCACUCGUGAGAUAUCAUGUUUAACACUCGAAAUAAAUUUGGUAUUUCCGCGCACCCAUGUAUUAUUCUCUAUUUAUUAUAUGCCAAGCAUCAGUUCCGGCGAAACGUAACUGCAUGACCACACCAAAAAACGAUGCUUUCGCAAUAUUUCGUUGCUCUUAGUUGAUUCAUUUCAAACUGUACGUCGUUAUGUAUCAAAUUCAAUGACCAAGCCAUUGCGUAUUAAAAAUUGAGUGAGGCUUCAGGCAAAUACCACAUGGUCGACAAGGUAAUAGGACACCCUCGCGCAACGCUAUGCUUCGAUAGCUUGUACACAAUGCGAUUAAGAAUUAUAUGCGACGAUUUUCACGCAUUUAAUAUACGUCAGAGAGCGAGUCAAUGUACUUAAUUUUGUAUAUACCAACUAUUUUGCACUAAGAAUAAUCUAACAUACCUUAAUCCAUUUCUGUUGUUAGACAGACAAACGCUUAGUUGUUGACUGGAAAUAUAUUGCGGGACCUCGCUAUUUAUUUAUUUAUUUAUUUAGCUUUGCAACUAGGAUAGGGUCACCACAACAGCAUUUGCCAAUUAUUGUGGGCCCUUUUACCUGCCCACGUGCCCGGGGUUAACCAACGACUUUCGGCAGAACGUUGACUUUCACCAGGCAGAGCGUUGAUUUUCAAUAAAUAAAUAAAUUGAUAAAUAGAUAAAUAGAUAUUGCUAGGGCUAGUGAUGUUGACAGCUUCUAUUUUCGAC